rnacentral:rRNA from 1 species
GAUGAACGCUGGCGGCGUGCUUAACACAUGCAAGUCGAACGAAGCACUUUAUUUGAUUUCCUUCGGGACUGAUUAUUUUGUGACUGAGUGGCGGACGGGUGAGUAACGCGUGGGUAACCUGCCUUGUACAGGGGGAUAACAGUUGGAAACGGCUGCUAAUACCGCAUAAGCGCACAGCAUCGCAUGAUGCAGUGUGAAAAACUCCGGUGGUAUAAGAUGGACCCGCGUUGGAUUAGCUAGUUGGUGAGGUAACGGCCCACCAAGGCGACGAUCCAUAGCCGACCUGAGAGGGUGACCGGCCACAUUGGGACUGAGACACGGCCCAAACUCCUACGGGAGGCAGCAGUGGGGAAUAUUGCACAAUGGGCGAAAGCCUGAUGCAGCGACGCCGCGUGAGCGAAGAAGUAUUUCGGUAUGUAAAGCUCUAUCAGCAGGGAAGAUAACGACGGUACCUGACUAAGAAGCACCGGCUAAAUACGUG